rnacentral:rRNA from 1 species
UACGAAGGGGGCUAGCGUUGUUCGGAUUUACUGGGCGUAAAGCGCACGUAGGCGGAUCGUUAAGUCGGGGGUGAAAUCCUGGAGCUCAACUCCAGAACUGCCUUUGAUACUGAAGAUCUUGAGUUCGGGAGAGGUGAGUGGAACUGCGAGUGUAGAGGUGAAAUUCGUAGAUAUUCGCAAGAACACCAGUGGCGAAGGCGGCUCACUGGCCCGAUACUGACGCUGAGGCACGAAAGCGUGGGGAGCAAACAGGG